rnacentral:rRNA from 1 species
GAUGAACGCUGGCGGCGUGCCUAACACAUGCAAGUCGAGCGAUUCUCUUCGGAGAAGAGCGGCGGACGGGUGAGUGACGCGUGGGUAACCUGCCCUGUACACACGGAUAACAUACCGAAAGGUAUGCUAAUACGAGAUAAUAUACUUUAUCGCAUGGUAGAAGUAUCAAAGCUCCGGCGGUACAGGAUGGACCCGCGUCUGAUUAGCUAGUUGGUAAGGUAACGGCUUACCAAGGCGACGAUCAGUAGCCGACCUGAGAGGGUGAUCGGCCACAUUGGAACUGAGACACGGUCCAAACUCCUACGGGAGGCAGCAGUGGGGAAUAUUGCACAAUGGGCGAAAGCCUGAUGCAGCAACGCCGCGUGAGCGAUGAAGGCC